rnacentral:rRNA from 1 species
UACAGGGGGGCAAGCGUUGUUCGGAAUUACUGGGCGUAAAGGGCUCGUAGGUGGCCAACUAAGUCAGACGUGAAAUCCCUCAGCUUAACUGGGGAACUGCGUCUGAUACUGGAUGGCUUGAGUUUGGGAGAGGGAUGCGGAAUUCCGAGGUGUAGCGGUGAAAUGCGUAGAUAUCUGGAGGAACACCGGUGGCGAAGGCGGCAUCCCGGACCAAUACUGACACUGAGGAGCGAAAGCCAGGGAGCAAACGGG